rnacentral:rRNA from 1 species
ACCUCUGCAAUAGGCGAAAGCCUGACAGGGUUACUCUGAGUGACUUUCGCUAAGAAAGUCUUUUGACACCUCUAAAAAUGGUGUAGAAUAAGGGGUGGGCAAGUCUGGUGUCAGCCGCCGCGGUAAUACCAGCACCCCGAGUGGUCGGGACGAUUAUUGGGCCUAAAGCAUCCGUAGCCGGCCUUACAAGUCCCCCGUUAAAUCCAACUGCUUAACAGAUGGGCUGCGGAGGAUACUAUAAGACUAGGAGGCAGGAGAGGCAAGCGGUACUCAGUGGGUAGGGGUAAAAUCCGUUGAUCCAUUGAAGACCACCAGUGGCGAAGGCGGCUUGCCAGAAUGCGCUCGACGGUGAGGGAUGAAAGCUGGGGGAGCAAACCGGAUUAGAUACCCGGGUAGUCCCAGCUGUAAACGAUGCAGACUCGGUGAUGGACUAGCUUAAUGCUAGUCCAGUGCCGCAGGGAAGCCGUUAAGUCUGCCGCCUGGGUAGUACGGUCGCAAGACUGAAACUUAA